rnacentral:rRNA from 1 species
GACGUAGGGCGCGAGCGUUGUCCGGAUUUAUUGGGCGUAAAGAGCUCGUAGGCGGUCUGUUGCGUCGGCUGUGAAAACCCGGGGCUCAACCCCGGGCCUGCAGCCGAUACGGGCAGACUAGAGUUCGGCAGGGGAGACUGGAAUUCCUGGUGUAGCGGUCGAAAUGCGCAGAUAUCAGGAGGAACACCGGUGCGAAGGCGGGUCUCUGGGCAACAACUGACGCUGAGGAGCGAAGGCGUG